rnacentral:rRNA from 1 species
GGAUUCCCUUAGUAACUGCGAGUGAAGAGGGAAAAGCUCAAAUUUAGAAUCUGGCAGCAUUUUGCUGUCCGAGUUGUAACCUAGAGAAGUGUAACCUGUGCUGGACCGUGUAUAAGUUUCCUGGAAUGGAGCAUCACAGAGGGUGAGAAUCCCGUCUUUGACAUGGACUACCAGUGCAUUGUGGUUGUGCUCUCAACGAGUCGAGUUGUUUGGGAAUGCAGCUCUAAAUGGGUGGUAAAUUCCAUCUAAAGCUAAAUAUUGGCGAGAGACCGAUAGCGAACAAGUACCGUGAGGGAAAGAUGAAAAGAACUUUGGAAAGAGAGUUAAACAGUAUGUGAAAUUGUUGAAAGGGAAACGUUUGAAGUCAGUCGCGUUAGCUGGGGAUCAGCCUGACAUUGUUGGGUGCACUUCCUGGUUGACGGGCCAACAUCAGUUUUGACUGCCAGAAAAAGGCCAAGGGAAUGUGGCACCUUUGGGUGUGUUAUAGCCUUUGGUCAUAUAUGGUGGUUGGGACUGAGGAACGCAGUGUGCCGAAAGGCCGGGUUUCGACCACGUUCACACUGAGGAUGUUGGCAUAAUGGCUUUAAGCGACCCGUCUUGAAACACGGACCAAGGAGUCUAACAUGCAUGCGAGUGUUUGGGUGGGAAAACCCUUACGCGUAAUGAAAGUGAAAGUUGAGAUCCCCUGUCGUGGGGAGCCC